rnacentral:snRNA from 1 species
GCGCUCGCUUCAGCAGCGCAUAUACUAAAAUUGGAAUGAUACAGAGAAGAUUAACAUGGCCCCUGCGCAAGGAUGACACGCAAACUCGUGAAGCGUUCCAUAAGUUU